rnacentral:snoRNA from 1 species
UGAUGAGGAGCUUCUUAUGUAUGUAACUCGGGAAAUCUGAGUGUG